CACGUAGGGCGCAAGCGUUGUCCGGAAUCAUUGGGCGUAAAGAGCGUGUAGGCGGCCAACUAAGUCCUGCGUGAAAUCUCGGGGCUCAACCCCGAGCGGUCGUGGGAAACUGGCUGGCUAGAGUGCGGGAGAGGAGAGUGGAAUUCCUGGUGUAGCGGUGAAAUGCGCAGAUAUCAGGAAGAACACCAGAGGCGAAGGCGGCGCACUGGACGAUAACUGACACUCAAUUGCGAAAGCGUGGGGAGCAAACAGG
rnacentral:rRNA from 1 species